rnacentral:rRNA from 1 species
UGAGUAACCUGCCCUUCACUCUGGGAUAACUCCGGGAAACCGGGGCUAAUACUGGAUAUGACUCGAACAGGCAUCUGUUUCGGGUGGAAAGAUUUAUUGGUGGAGGAUGGACUCGCGGCCUAUCAGCUUGUUGGUGAGGUAAUGGCUCACCAAGGUGACGACGGGUAGCCGGCCUGAGAGGGCGAUCGGUCGCACUGGGACUGAGACACGGCCCAGACUCCGUACGGGAGCA